GAUAGUAUUCGAACCAUUAAAACUAUCAGUCAAACUGAUACCUUUAGAGGAAAACAGUAAAAGUGAAACUUUAAAAUGAAAUUUUUCGUAUUCGGAUUUUUACUUGCUAUGCUCAUGGCACUUUUUGGCAAUACUCUUGGCAGUCUUAAAGAGGAUCCAGAACAUCCUUCAUUCGCUGAAUUGCGAAGCUUUGUACCACCACCGGAGCCAGCUCCAUAUCCUUUUUAAAAUCUUUAUUUUAUUGCAUUUUAAAAGAAGUUAAGUUUAAACAUUUGAACUCACAUUAUAUGGGCUUGAACAUUUAUUUUGUAAACCAAUAUGCUAAACCAAUAAAUAAAAGCUGCUCCUUUCAUGUCUUUUGAAAGAUGUCUAAAAUA